AUUGAACGCUGGCGGUAGGCCUAACACAUGCAAGUCGGGCGAGCUGUGGACGGGUGAGCAAUGUAUGGGGAUCUGCCUUAUGUCGUGGGAUAACUACUGUAAACGGUCGCUAAUACCGCAUACCAUCAGAUGAACCCAUAUGGGAUUAGCUAGUAGGUGAGGUAACGGCUGACCUAGGCGACGAUCCCUAGCUGGUCUGAGAGGAUGAUCAGCCACACUGGGACUGAGACACGGCCCGAACGCCUACGGGAGGCAGCGGUGGGGAAUAUUGUACAAGGGGCGAAAGCCUGAUGCAGCCAUGCCGCGUGUAUGAAGAAGGCAUUCGGGUUGUGAAGUACUUUCAGUCGGGAGGCGUUACCGAAAGAAAAAGCACCGGCUAACUCCGUGCCAGCGGACGCGGUAAUUC
rnacentral:rRNA from 1 species